rnacentral:rRNA from 1 species
UACGUAGGUGGCAAGCGUUGUCCGGAUUUACUGGGUGUAAAGGGCGUGUAGGCGGGUAAUUAAGUCAGAUGUGAAAUACCGAGGCUCAACCUCGGGGCUGCAUUUGAAACUAUUUAUCUUGAGUGCUGGAGAGGAAAGCGGAAUUCCUAGUGUAGCGGUGAAAUGCGUAGAUAUUAGGAGGAACACCAGUGGCGAAGGCGGCUUUCUGGACAGUAACUGACGCUGAGGCGCGAAAGCGUGGGGAGCAAACAGG